CUACAAGAAAAAUAGUCUACGACAACAUCAUAUCUACAACAUGCUAUAAAUGCUCGUUGUCACUUCUAAUCUUCUACAACAUGCGCAGAAAGAGCAUUGUAUUAAAUUAUUUACCACUACAUGCGUCAUUUGCAUGUUGUUAAUUUAGUUAUCGACAACUCACUUUGUACGUUGUUGUCUGCAAGUUGUCAAUUAAUGUAUCAACAAGCAGGAGUGCACGUUGUUAAAUAUUUUUAAAACAACAACGUGCAGUGAACGUUGUCGAAACUUUGAGAUAAAAGAAAAAAAAUAGCAGACAAUUGUGCAUUUGUGCUCAACUGUCAAGGCCCUUAAAAAAAAAAAAUUGACGAAAAACAAAAGGACCCGUUGACUGAAGUCAGUAAAAACACAUCUCAAUCUUUCUCGAAAAAAAAAAAAAAAAGGUGAUGAUCCAUCAGAGACCCAAAACAUAUAAAAUCCUGGGCUUGAAGAAUUGAGCUCUGGAGCUCUCAACUCUCAAACCCUAAACCACCCGAAACGAUCGCUUCCCUCUGUCGUCACUCUCAAUUGCAUCGACGACUUCUCUAUGGAGCAAGACUGCUUAUCCGGCGUCGCCGCCGUCGAGCACGUCCCGCUCAGCCGACGGUAGGGUCGAGUUUGCCUUUGGUUGUGCUCCUCCAAUCCCUCAGUACCUCCCACGCGCCGCCCAGCGUCGGCUACGUCCUUACCAGUUCAUCCUCUGCCUCGGCUCCGUCGACCGCGCCACCGACUCCACUCUAGUUGCCGACCUCGGUUGUCAAUCUUUGACGCAUUUCGACGGCCAAAUUUCCGGUGUUACGGCUACGAAGGUGGUUUUGGUACGAGAGGAUUUCUUUGCGAGGACGUUGACAUUGAACAGGCCUCGGCAACUGAAUGCCCUUAACUUUGAAAUGGUAUUGCCCAGUGACACCCAUUACUGUACUACUGUACUUUCUUGAACCAAUCUCUGGGUUAUGGAAAUUACAGUUUUUUGUUGCUUUGGUUCUUUUUGUGUCCGUUUUUAUAGUUUUUAUAUUGUGUUCUUUUAUACUUGGCUUCACAUUAUAACUUUCUUGAACUGUAUCUAUUAUCUUGUUCUUGAAGUCUCUGCGUCACCUCCCUAGAUGGAGCUCGGAAACUGUAUCCACUAAUGUCAAUUGGGUUGUUGUGGGUCAUUCCAGAGUCGUGACUACAGAUUUAAGCUACUUUGUGAUAUCAUAAGGCACAACGUUUCAAGUCUCUGUACACAGUGGCAGUGCCAGAAUGCCAUUGACAAUUGCACAUAAAAUUGCUAGCUUGGAGUCUCUACAAGAGAUCCUUAUGAGGCAUUAUACUCGCAACUUCGUCAUGAGAUGUUUAAGGGACUCAGAGGUCUUCUUCAACCACCGAUCAAUGGAGUUGAGAAUCAUGGUCUUCCUGUUGUGCUCUAAGUAUCUAUCGCGCAGGCGUAGCUUUAGAUAUUACAGGUUUCGUUGGCCAAACCAGCUGCUAGGAUUCUUGAAGUUGCUGGAAAAACUGCACAGAGCAUUAGAACCCGAUAGGAUCUAUUGAACUUCCUCGUAAUUUCUGAUAUUUGUAGUCAUAACAAUGCUUGUUUUGUCAAUUACCAAUGAUCCACAAAGGAUGCAGUACUUUGUCUUGCAUUUUUUGUAAGGAAUAUAUGUAUGUCUUGCAUUUUUUGUAAGGAAUAUAUGUAUUAGACAAUAUGGUACUCUUAAUGAAAUGUAUAUUUUUCUUUUA